rnacentral:rRNA from 1 species
GCAAGUCGAACGGUAACAUUUCUAGCUUGCUAGAAGAUGACGAGUGGCGGACGGGUGAGUAACGCGUAGGAAUCUGCCUAGUAGUGGGGGACAACAUGUGGAAACGCAUGCUAAUACCGCAUACGCCCUACGGGGGAAAGGAGGGGAUCUUCGGACCUUUCGCUAUUAGAUGAGCCUGCGUGAGAUUAGCUAGUUGGUGGGGUAAAGGCCUACCAAGGCGACGAUCUCUAGCUGGUCUGAGAGGAUGAUCAGCCACACUGGGACUGAGACACGGCCCAGACUCCUACGGGAGGCAGCAGUGGGGAAUAUUGGACAAUGGGCGCAAGCCUGAUCCAGCCAUGCCGCGUGUGUGAAGAAGGCCUUAGGGUUGUAAAGCACUUUCAGGAGUGAGGAAGGGCGUGCAGUUAAUACCUGUAUGUCUUGACGUUAACUCCAGAAGAAGCGCCGGCUAACUCUGUGCCAGUAGCCGCGGUAAUACAGAGGGUGCGAGCGUUAAUCGGAAUUACUGGGCGUAAAGCGCGCGUAGGCGGUUUGUUAAGUCGGAUGUGAAAUCCCAGGGCUCAACCUUGGAAUGGCACCCGAUACUGGCAGGCU